GGCCAUCCGGCAAGCCGAAGGUGCCGCUCGAGUUCAAGGACUUCGAGCCGCCACCUGAGGCCACCACAACAAAAACUGCCGGACCAUUCUCUAUUAAAGUUUCUUCUUCAUCCUUCGUAGGAUUGCUGUUGCAUAUAUUGCCCGACACCAAACCGAAGAAGUUGUCGAUCACUUUGGACUUUUCUCAAACAGGGUGUUGUCCGGUGAUUGAAUUUCUCUUCACACAAGGACAGAUUGUGAAGGAGAUAUUGUAAACUAUCAGCAGCAGUAGAGAACGAGGCACAAAGAAUAAAGGAAAUUGAUGGACCCAA
rnacentral:lncRNA from 1 species